UGGGGAAUAUUGCACAAUGGGGGAAACCCUGAUGCAGCGACGCCGCGUGAGCGAUGAAGGCUUUCGAGUCGUAAAGCUCUGUCCUAUGGGAAGAUAAUGACGGUACCAUAGAAGAAAGCCCCGGCUAAUUACGUGCCAGCAGCCGCGGUAAUACGUAAGGGGCGAGCGUUGUCCGGAAUUAUUGGGCGUAAAGAGUGCGUAGGCGGCAAAUUAAGUCAGAUGUGAAAACUAAGGGCUCAACCCAUAGAUUGCAUCUGAAACUGAUAUGCUUGAGUCAAGGAGAGGAAAGUGGAAUUCCUAGUGUAGCGGUGGAAUGCUUAGAUAUUAGGAGGAAUACCGGUGGCGAAGGCGACUUUCUGGACUUAACCUGACGCUGAGGAACGAAAGCGUGGGAAGCAAACAGG
rnacentral:rRNA from 1 species